ACCAGAUUCACACACACUCUCCUGUACCCCUUAAUCGAAUCCUUUCAAAAAUAUUCUCAUUGAUAUCCUUCAGGAAUCUUGGAGAGAAGAAUAAAGGGGAGUGUCAAAAGGGCCUUGAGAAACAUCUGCCUGAAUAAGGAGGAGAACUGAGGAAGCCAAAAGGGAAUGGAGUUGAGCACAUUGAUUCUUUUGGGAAAAUUCCAAAGAAGAGGGCUGCUAAUGGAUGUCUGAGAGGGGAGAGGGGUCCAGAAAUUUGCCCAAAGGCCAUUCUGAGGAUCGGUUGGCAGAAAAGUGGUCACAACACACAAGCCACAGACUGCUGCAUCCAGUCCCAAAAGAAAGAAAAGAUCCCUGCUCAUCCCUACAGAACAACGGCUUUCCUUUCUGAGGGCUGCUAAUGGAUGUCUGAGAGGGGAGAGGGGUCCAGAAAUUUGCCCAAAGCCCAUUCUGAGGAUCGGUUGGCAGAAAAGUGGUCACAACACACAAGCCACAGACUGCUGCAUCCAGUCCCAAAAGAAAGAAAGGAUCCCUGCUCAUCCCUACAGAACAACAGCUUUCCAUUUGAGGGCUGCUAAUGGAUGUCUGAGAGGGAAGAGGGGUCCAGAAAUUUGCCCAAAGCCCAUUCUGAGGAUCGGUUGGCAGAAAAGUGGUCACAACACACAAGCCACAGACUGCUGCAUCCAGUCCCAAAAGAAAGAAAGGAUCCCUGCUCAUCCCUCCGGAACAACAGCUUUUUCCAUUCUGAGGUGAGACAGAUCCUGUAGGAUGGGGGACACCUGUGGCUCUGGAGGAAGGUCCAGGGAGACCCUUGGCCUAUGGGAGGCUUUAGUCAGAAUUAGCUGAAUGGCAGCUGGACCAUCAAAAAGCAUUAGAGUGGUGGUGCUUUUGUCACUAAGAUAGGAGGCUGUUUGACUUGGUAAAGUGAGUUGCAGGGGGAUGUAGGAGAGGAGUCUGAAGGGGCAUCUAUGAUGGAGAAUGGAAGAGAUCUCAGAGGUCAUCUUCUCCAACCUAGUCUUUUGACAGGAAGGGCUAAGUGAAGUGAACAAGAGGGGGGAGGAGUUUGGUCUAGGUUACACAGCCAGGAAGUGAAGGGGCAAAAGCAGGUCCUGAGUCCAGGAUCCUUUUGUCUGCCAAGCUAGCUGACUUACAUUUUGGCAGCUACCUCUUCUGAGAGCCAAGCGUCUUGCACUCAGGUUGCCUCAGCAUGAGGUGGAGACAUUCCCCAUAGAGCCAGGACUCCUGUGAAUCUACAGUCAAUGAGGAGAAGAAGAGGGUUUGGAUCAGCCUCUGGAGAAGUGACCUUCCCUGAAUUUCUUUCAGUUAGGAAAACAGGGAUUUGCACAUCCCACUCCUAUUUUCUGUGGAACCUCCUUGAACAUUUCCCUGGGAUUUAGAGGUUAAAGCUUAGGCAAGGUCCACCUUGCUGAUCUCAGAGAAUUCCUCCUCUGGAGUCUCAGCUUGUUGAAGGGAGUACUUGGGCAAUAGGAAUAGCAUAGAGAUGGGUAAGAAUGGGCACCAUGGAGCAAAUGUGAGUUAAGAAAGGCUUGGUGUAGACAUGGGUUGAGUGCCACUUGGGCUUUCAAUAAUCACAUGGAUAGCGAAGAACAUGAACUCAGUGAAGGUGGGAAUUGUGAGUUGUUUAAAGGGAAGGACCUCCUUGUGCUAUAGAAGGAUUCUUGGGGAAAACAGGGUGGGGAAGGAACUCUGAAUUAACAGCCCCUAGAUCAGGACAAAUGGGGCCACUUCUAAGGCCUCAUUGAGCUGGUCUUAUGGACUAUCUCAAACAGAAAGAGGGGAUUUGCUCCAUCUGGAACAGAUCAGCUCAAGCACAUCUCUCACAAACAUUGUCUCCCUGAUACCAAAAAGAUUGAAGAGGGAAAGAUGAGGGCAGAAGCAGUACCCAGUCCAAUCUGUAAGGGCAAAUGGGACCAGGAAUAUGUGCCCGGGAGAGCUUUUUAAUUUUAAGUAUUUCAUCAAAAAUCCCCAAACUCCCACAAUUAAAUAAAAAUUUUAAAGGAGAACCCA
ensembl:lncRNA